UACGUAGGGUGCGAGCGUUAAUCGGAAUUACUGGGCGUAAAGCGUGCGCAGGCGGUUUUGUAAGCCAGAUGUGAAAUCCCCGGGCUCAACCUGGGAAUGGCAUUUGGGACUGCAAGGCUGGAGUGCGGCAGAGGAGACUGGAAUUCCUGGUGUAGCAGUGAAAUGCGUAGAUAUCAGGAGGAAUACCGAUGGCGAAGGCAGGUCUCUGGGCUGACACUGACGCUCAUGCACAAAAGCGUGGGGAGCAAACAGG
rnacentral:rRNA from 1 species